rnacentral:rRNA from 1 species
GCUUGUCUCAAAGAUUAAGCCAUGCAUGUCUAAGUAUAAAUAGUGUACAUUGAAACUGCGAAUGGCUCAUUAAAACAGUUAUAGUUUAUUUGAUGAUGGUCUACAUGGAUAACCGUAGUAAUUCUAGAGCUAAUACAUGCUGUAAGCCUGACUUUAUGGGAAGGUUGUAUUUAUUAGAUCCCAAACCGAUAGCUUCGGCUAUUGUGACGAAUCAUAAUAACUUGUCGGAUCGGGUAUUACUCGAUGGAUCAUUCAAGUUUCUGCCCUAUCAGCUUUCGAUGGUAGUGUAUUGGACUACCAUGGCGAUAACGGGUAACGGGGAAUUAGGGUUCGAUUCCGGAGAGGGAGCCUGAGAAACGGCUACCACUUCUAAGGAAGGCAGCAGG